GAUGAACGCUGGCGGCGUGCCUAAUACAUGCAAGUCGAACGAACAGAUGAGGAGCUUGCUCCUCUGACGUUAGCGGCGGACGGGUGAGUAACACGUGGAUAACCUACCUAUAAGACUGAGAUCACUUCGGGAAACCGGCGCUAAUACCGGAUAAUAUAUUGAACCGCAUGGUUCAAUAGUGAAAUACGGUUUUGCGGUCACUACUAGAUGUAUCCGGGCGGCCUGAGCUGGUUGGUCAGGUAACGGCUUACCAGGGCAACGCUGCGUAACCGAACUGAGAGGGUGAUAGCCCACACUGGAACGUAGACACGGUCCAGACUCCUACGGGAGGCAGCAGUAGGGAAUCUUACGCAAUGGGGGAAAGUCUGACGGAGCAACGCGGAGUGAGUGAUGAAGGUCUUCGGAUCGUAAAACUCUGUUAUGAGGGAAGAACAAAUGUGUAAGUAACCAUGCACGUCUUGACGGUACCUAAUAAGAAAGCCCCGGCUAACUACGUG
rnacentral:rRNA from 1 species